rnacentral:rRNA from 1 species
GAUGAACGCUAGCGGCAGGCCUAAUACAUGCAAGUCGGACGGGAUUUGGGAGCUUGCUCCUAAUGAGAGUGGCGCACGGGUGCGUAACACGUAUGUAACCUACCUUAAUCAGGGGGAUAGCCUCUCGAAAGAGAGAUUAACACCGCAUAAUAUACUUUUAUGGCAUCGUAGAAAUAUCAAAUAUUUAUAGGAUUAAGAUGGGCAUGCGGAACAUUAGCUAGUUGGUAAGGUAACGGCUUACCAAGGCUACGAUGCUUAGGGGAUCUGAGAGGAUGACCCCCCACACUGGUACUGAGACACGGACCAGACUCCUACGGGAGGCAGCAGUAAGGAAUAUUGGUCAAUGGGCGCAAGCCUGAACCAGCCAUGCCGCGUGCAGGAAGACGGCCCUAUGGGUUGUAAACUGCUUUUGUACCGGAAUAAACCCUUUUACGUGUAGAAGGCUGAAUGUACGGUAAGAAUAAGGAUCGGCUAACUCCGUGCCAGCCGCCGCAGUAA